UACAGAGGCCUCGAGCGUUAGGCGGAAUUACUGGGCGUAAAGCGUGCGCAGGCGGUUUUGUAAGCCAGGUGUGAAAUCCCCGGGCUCAACCUGGGAAUGGCAUUUGGGACUGCAAGGCUGGAGUGCGGCAGAGGAGACUGGAAUUCCUGGUGUAGCAGUGAAAUGCGUAGAUAUCAGGAGGAAUACCGAUGGCGAAGGCAGGUCUCUGGGCUGACACUGACGCUCAUGCACGAAAGCGUGGGGAGCAAACAGG
rnacentral:rRNA from 1 species